AAGGGCAGGAAAAUCAAGACGUCAAUGGAAACGAAGAAAGCAAAGUGCAGGAAAAUCAAGAUGUAAAUGGAAACGAAGAAAGCAAAGGACAGGAAAAUGAAGACAUGAAUGGGAACGAAGAAAGCAAAGGGAAAGAAAAUCAAGACGUGAAUGGAAACGAAGAAAGCAAAGGGCAGGAAAAUCAAGACCAAAAUGGAAAUGAAGAAAGCAAAAUACAGGAAAAUCAAGACGUGAAUGGAAACGAAGAAAGCAAAGGGCAGGAAAAUCAAGAUCAAAAUGGAAACGAAGAAAGCAAAGUACAAGAAAAUCAAGACGUUAAUGG
rnacentral:lncRNA from 1 species